CGAACGGGUGAGUAAUACAUCGGAACGUGUCCGCACGUGGGGGACAACCAGCCGAAAGGUUGGCUAAUACCGCAUGAGUUCUACGGAAGAAAGAGGGGGACCCGCAAGGGCCUCUCGCGAGCGGAGCGGCCGAUGACUGAUUAGCCGGUUGGUGAGGUAACGGCUCACCAAAGCAACGAUCAGUAGCUGGUCUGAGAGGACGACCAGCCACACUGGGACUGAGACACGGCCCAGACUCCUACGGGAGGCAGCAG
rnacentral:rRNA from 1 species